rnacentral:rRNA from 1 species
UACGUAGGGUGCAAGCGUUAUCCGGAAUUAUUGGGCGUAAAGAGCUCGUAGGCGGUUUGUCGCGUCUGCUGUGAAACCCGAGGCUCAACCUCGGGCCUGCAGUGGGUACGGGCAGACUAGAGUGCGGUAGGGGAGAUUGGAAUUCCUGGUGUAGCGGUGGAAUGCGCAGAUAUCAGGAGGAACACCGAUGGCGAAGGCAGAUCUCUGGGCCGUAACUGACGCUGAGGAGCGAAAGCGUGGGGAGCGAACAGG